AUGAACGCUAGCGACAGGCUUAACACAUGCAAGUCGAGGGGCAGCGGGGGUAGCGAUACCCGCCGGCGACCGGCGCACGGGUGAGUAACGCGUAUGCAACUUGCCUAUCAGAGGGGGAUAACCCGGCGAAAGUCGGACUAAUACCGCAUGAAGCAGGGGCCCCGCAUGGGGAUAUUUGCUAAAGAUUCAUCGCUGAUAGAUAGGCAUGCGUUCCAUUAGGCAGUUGGCGGGGUAACGGCCCACCAGACCGACGAUGGAUAGGGGUUCUGAGAGGAAGGUCCCCCACAUUGGUACUGAGACACGGACCAAACUCCUACGGGAGGCAGCAGUGAGGAAUAUUGGUCAAUGGCCGAGAGGCUGAACCAGCCAAGUCGCGUGAGGGAUGAAGGUUCUAUGGAUCGUAAACCUCUUUUAUAAGGGAAUAAAGUGCGGGACGUGUCCCGUUUUGUAUGUACCUUAUGAAUAAGGAUCGGCUAACUCCGUGCCAGCAGCCGCGGUAAUACGGAGGAUCCGAGCGUUAUCCGGAUUUAUUGGGUUUAAAGGGUGCGUAGGCGGCCUUUUAAGUCAGCGGUGAAAGUCUGUGGCUCAACCAUAGAAUUGCCGUUGAAACUGGGGGGCUUGAGUAUGUUUGAGGCAGGCGGAAUGCGUGGUGUAGCGGUGAAAUGCAUAGAUAUCACGCAGAACCCCGAUUGCGAAGGCAGCCUGCCAAGCCAUUACUGACGCUGAUGCACGAAAGCGUGGGGAUCAAACAGGAUUAGAUACCCUGGUAGUCCACGCAGUAAACGAUGAUCACUAGCUGUUUGCGAUACACUGUAAGCGGCACAGCGAAAGCGUUAAGUGAUCCACCUGGGGAGUACGCCGGCAACGGUGAAACUCAAAGGAAUUGACGGGGGCCCGCACAAGCGGAGGAACAUGUGGUUUAAUUCGAUGAUACGCGAGGAACCUUACCCGGGUUUGAACGCAUUCGGACCGAGGUGGAAACACCUUUUCUAGCAAUAGCCGUUUGCGAGGUGCUGCAUGGUUGUCGUCAGCUCGUGCCGUGAGGUGUCGGCUUAAGUGCCAUAACGAGCGCAACCCUUGCCACUAGUUACUAACAGGUAAAGCUGAGGACUCUGGUGGGACUGCCAGCGUAAGCUGCGAGGAAGGCGGGGAUGACGUCAAAUCAGCACGGCCCUUACAUCCGGGGCGACACACGUGUUACAAUGGCGUGGACAAAGGGAAGCCACCUGGCGACAGGGAGCGAAUCCCCAAACCACGUCUCAGUUCGGAUCGGAGUCUGCAACCCGACUCCGUGAAGCUGGAUUCGCUAGUAAUCGCGCAUCAGCCAUGGUGCGGUGAAUACGUUCCCGGGCCUUGUACACACCGCCCGUCAAGCCAUGGGAGCCGGGGGUACCUGAAGUCCGUAACCGAAAGGAUCGGCCUAGGGUAAAAC
rnacentral:rRNA from 1 species